rnacentral:rRNA from 1 species
GAUCCUGGCUCAGAGUGAACGCUGGCGGCGUGCCUAAUACAUGCAAGUCGAACGGAGAUUAAGUAGCUUGCUAUUUAAUCUUAGUGGCGCACGGGUGAGUAAUGUAUAGUUAAUCUGCCCCAUAGUGGAGGACAACAGUUAGAAAUGACUGCUAAUACUCCAUACUCCUUCUUAUCAUAAGUUAAGUCGGGAAAGUUUUUCGCUAUGGGAUGGGACUAUAUCGUAUCAGCUAGUUGG